rnacentral:rRNA from 1 species
GACGGGGGGGGCAAGUGUUCUUCGGAAUGACUGGGCGUAAAGGGCACGUAGGCGGUGAAUCGGGUUGAAAGUGAAAGUCGCCAAAAAGUGGCGGAAUGCUCUCGAAACCAAUUCACUUGAGUGAGACAGAGGAGAGUGGAAUUUCGUGUGUAGGGGUGAAAUGCGCAGAUAUCGGGAGGAACACCGGUGGCGAAGGCGGUUCUCUGGGCCUUACCUGACGCUGAGGAGCGAAAGCGUGGGGAGCGAACAGG